rnacentral:snoRNA from 1 species
AAGUAAUGGAUUGGGAUGAUCAAAACUGUCUGACACAAUUGGACCUUGCCAUAGCAAGAAAGUCUAACCUAUUCCAGUGUUCUUUCUUUCAUGAGACAAGCUGUUAUAUAGACUUAAACAGU